rnacentral:rRNA from 1 species
UACGGGGGGGGCAAGCGUUGUUCGGAAUUACUGGGCGUAAAGGGUGCGUAGGCGGUUCCAUAAGUCAGUGGUGAAAUACGGCAGCUCAACUGUCGAGGUGCCAUUGAUACUGCGGAACUUGAGUACUGAUGAGGUAGGCGGAAUUGACGGUGUAGCGGUGAAAUGCUUAGAUAUCGUCAAGAACACCGAUAGCGAAGGCAGCUUACCAAGCAGUAACUGACGCUGAGGCACGAAAGUGCGGGGAUCAAACAGG